UACGGAGGGUGCAAGCGUUGUCCGGAUUUCUUGGGUUUAAAGGGUGCGUAGGCGGUCCGUUAAGUCAGUGGUGAAAGCCUCCAGCUCAACUGGAGAACUGCCAUUGAUACUGACGGGCUUGAGUACAGACGAGGUUGGCGGAAUUGAUUGUGUAGCGGUGAAAUGCAUAGAUACAAUCAAGAACACCGAUUGCGAAGGCAGCUGCCUAGACUGUAACUGACGCUGAGGCACGAAAGCGUGGGGAGCGAACAGG
rnacentral:rRNA from 1 species